GAUGAACGCUGGCGGCGUGCCUAAUACAUGCAAGUCGAGCGAACAGACGAGGAGCUUGCUCCUCUGACGUUAGCGGCGGACGGGUGAGUAACACGUGGAUAACCUACCUAUAAGACUGGGAUAACUUCGGGAAACCGGAGCUAAUACCGGAUAAUAUAUUGAACCGCAUGGUUCAAUAGUGAAAGACGGUUUUGCUGUCACUUAUAGAUGGAUCCGCGCCGCAUUAGCUAGUUGGUAAGGUAACGGCUUACCAAGGCAACGAUGCGUAGCCGACCUGAGAGGGUGUUCGGCCACACUGGAACGGGGACACGGUCCAGACUCCUACGGGGGGCAGCAGUAGGGAAUCUUCCCCAAUGGGCGAAAGCCUGACGGAGCACCGCCGCGUGAGUGAUGAAGGUCUUCGGAUCGUAAAACUCUGUUAUUAGGGAAGAACAAAUGUGUAAGUAACUAUGCACGUCUUGACGGUACCUAAUCAGAAAGCCACGGCUAACUACGUG
rnacentral:rRNA from 1 species